AGCGGCGGCCGAGGGAAUGGUUGGUGGUCUUGGUGUUGCUUCCCGCCGCCUAGCUCCCAGGGUGGGGAGAGCGCGCGGGCGCAUGUGCGCGCGAGGCACGCCAGUGGAAUUCGGGCUACGGCCCUCGAGACGAAGUUGUUCCUGGGUGAUCUGGAAGUUUUCAGUACUGUCUGGAAUAGCUGCAUUGGCGUGAUCCAAAGGACGAAUUGAACACUGCUUUUGCACAUCCCUGGUUAAAACUAUAGCAAGUUUUUGCCUGCUGAAACUUGGCAGGACAAGGAAGCAAUGCUGAGAAGAUUCAUAAUCUGUCUCUCUUGAAUAUCCUAACUUACCUUAUCUGUCCUGACCUGAGGUCUGUUCAGCACAGAGGCAGAGAGAGGCCUGCACAAAAACGUGGAACUGUUCCUCACCUGCAGAAAGGAAAAAACACAUCACAGAAGAGAAAUAAAACUUCCACUAGUACAGCAAGCUUCCUUGUCAAGCACAUUCUAGGUUUAAAGGCAAAAUCCUAACUGUUAAAAGGAACAAUGGUAGGGGGUUCAAACAUGGUGAUUUAAUACAUUGUGUAAAGCCAGAUAUUAUGGUUUUUAAACCAUAGUUUAUGGCUUUGUAUAUGCAAACCAAACCAUUAAGACUUGUUUAAUAUAAUAUA